rnacentral:rRNA from 1 species
UACGUAGGGUGCGAGCGUUAAUCGGAAUUACUGGGCGUAAAGCGUGCGCAGGCGGUUCGUCGUGUCCGAUGUGAAAGCCCCGGGCUCAACCUGGGAAUGGCAUCGGAAACUGGCGGACUCGAGUGUGGCAGAGGGGGGUGGAAUUCCGCGUGUAGCAGUGAAAUGCGUAGAGAUGCGGAGGAACACCGAUGGCGAAGGCAGCCCCCUGGGCUAACACUGACGCUCAGGCACGAAAGCGUGGGGAGCAAACAGG